rnacentral:rRNA from 1 species
GAUAUUGCACAAUGGGGGAAACCCUGAUGCAGCAACGCCGCGUGAGGGAAGACGGUUUUCGGAUUGUAAACCUCUGUCUUCGGUGACGAUAAUGACGGUAGCCGAGGAGGAAGCUCCGGCUAACUACGUGCCAGCAGCCGCGGUAAUACGUAGGGAGCGAGCGUUGUCCGGAUUUACUGGGUGUAAAGGGUGCGUAGGCGGGAACACAAGUCAGGCGUGAAAUCCACCGGCUUAACUGGUGGGCUGCGCUUGAAACUGUGUUUCUUGAGUGGAGUAGAGGCAGGCGGAAUUCCCGGUGUAGCGGUGAAAUGCGUAGAGAUCGGGAGGAACACCAGUGGCGAAGGCGGCCUGCUGGGCUUUUACUGACGCUGAGGCACGAAAGCGUGGGUAGCAAACAGG